UCAGAUUUCCAGGCUGCCAUGGGGUUGUGAGUAGAGCUAAUAGACUGGAUGAGAGAAUAAUGAGCCAAAGCAAUAUUUUUCAGCUGUGAAGAGACCAACACAAAGUUCAGCACUUGCGUCUGAAUGACAUCUUGCAGAGAGAAUGGCAGGACAGGACACCGCCCAGCAUUCUCCACUGCUCCCACCUGGGUCCCAAGACAUGGUUCCUGAACCCUGACAUCCUGUCCAGAGAAAUGCCAAAGCGUUCAAACACAUGGCCAGGCAGCCACCAGGCUACCUGGCGUGCAAGCCCCCUGGGUGUGUAGGAGAGCAAUUAUGAAGCAUUUUCAAGUUUGCUUCUCCUGCGAGAAGACCGGGCUGUGUCCUGAUUUUGUUAGUGUGAUUGCUGAAAAUGGAGUGGUCUAUUAACAAGCAGUGGUCACCGCCGCCUGACGGAUCUGCUUCUUGCAACAUUAGUGUCAUGGUGAUGGAUUAGCAGAAUCUCCAAAGUGGAAAGGCAUGUUUCUACAGAUAUUUUGUAUAGACAUAAAUUCACUUGCUAACAUUACUCAUUUUCCUUUUUAUUUUUUAUUUCUUAUCCUUUAACA